rnacentral:rRNA from 1 species
UACAGAGGUCUCGAGCGUUAGGCGGAAUCACUGGGCUUAAAGCGUGUGUAGGUGGAUCGUUAAGUACCUUGUGAAAUCCCACGGCUUAACCGUGGAACUGCUUGGUAUACUGGCGGUCUUGAGCCACUUAGGGGCUACCGGAACAAAUGGUGGAGCGGUGAAAUGCGUAGAUAUCAAUUUGGAACGCCAAUGGUGAAAACAGGUAGCUGGGAGUGUGACUGACACU